UCCCACAACAUCCAGGCACCAGCGUGCUUUGCUUCAUCAUUGACAAGGUGCGCGGCAAGCUCUCACUCAAGCAACACAUUCCAGUGGUCUUCUGUCAAAAGACUGGGUGUAUUGACGUACCAUUACAAGGUCCAAUAAACAACGCUUGCGAGA
rnacentral:lncRNA from 1 species